AUGGCUUAAGGAGUUGAGAGUGUGAGAAUGUGGAGGCAAAGGGAAGGAAGGUUAGGGAUCGACCAGGCCGUACAAGAGGCCGUACCGGCCGUACCGUCCGUACUGUCCGGGUCGAUCCAUAACUCGACCAAGAGGGAAGUUACCCGGGUGAAAGGGUUAAACGGCCAAAGGGGUUUUACCUUAGAAGAUAUGACCGUUUGGAUGGAUAGAGUGACCGCGGCUUAUCCUGACAGUCUGGCACAAGCUGUAAAGGCAAAAGGGAACCUAGUCCAAGAUGCCAAAAGCGUGUGACAGCUCCCAUUUGUUUACAUUUGAAUUAAAGCAAUCUUAUCCUUGACUACACAUGCUUAGCGCUCCUGAAUACCCUAAUGUCUCUCUCUAUAUAUUGUAAACUCUGUCUUGAUUAAUGAUUAACACGAGUUUAUCAUAUUCUCUCUCUAGUUCAUCAUGUUUCUCUUCUACAUUUCAUAAAUCAUCUCAUCUCACUUUAAUCUUUCUCUAAAUCUCUCAAUACCUGUUCAACUCUCUAAAAUCAUAUGGUAUCAGAGCCAGGUUGGCUUUGGUAUUGAGAUUUAGAGUGUUCUUCAGCUUCAGUUCAUACUCGUUCAUACUUUCUUUUCGGUUCUAACAAAACAAGAUGGAGGGAAACUACAAAGUCAUUACAGUUCCGGUUGCGUUGAAGGGUGGGAGUAACUACCUGUUGUGGUCAAGGCUGGUGAAGACAGCCAUUGGGAGGCUAGGGCUUUGGAGUCACAUCACGGAUGAUGCAACCAAGCCAGUGGCCAAAGACGGAGAAGGAGGUGAAGGUGUGGGAGAUCAAGUUGCUGCUGCCGAGAAGAAGUGGAUUCAAGAAGACUUGAUGGUGCUUUCAGUGCUACAAGGGUCCCUUGAAGAGCAUCUCUUGGAGGCAUACAGCUACUGCGAGACUCCAAAACACCUGUGGGAGGUACUCCAAAGACUUUUGGGAACGUUACCAAUCUGAACCGUGUGUAUGAGAUCAAGAAAGCCAUCAACACACUGGUACAAGAUGGGGAGGAGUUCACCAAGCAUUUGGGCAAGUAUAGAUCGUUGUGGUCUGAGCUUGAAUCAUUGAGGCCAAGCACGGCUGAUCAAGAGCUACUCAUGGAGAGGCGGGAGCAGGAUCAGGUGUUUGGAUUGCUGUUGACACUGGAUCCUCCAUUCAAUGAUGUGAUCAAGCACAUGUUGAGGAUGCCAAGUCUUCCAUCUAUGGAGGAGGUGUGUGCGCAGAUUCAGAAGGAAGAGGGGUCACUUGGUUUGUUUGGAGGGAAAGGAGACAUGGCUCUGUCCAACAAGGCUGAAGCAAUCCAAGCAAACAAAGCCGCUUACCGUGGAGAGGAAAGGAAGUUCAGUGGAAACUGUGACCAUUGCAAGAAGCCGGGACACAAAAGGAGUCAGUGCUGGAUCCUACACCCCCAUCUGAAGCCGGCCAAGUUCAACAAGGAGAGAGAGGGAAGAGCUCACCUUUCUGCAGAGACAAGUGAAGCCGGCGCAUCAGGAGCUGGUUCAUCUGGUCUUGCGGGUGAAAGUGAAGGAAGAGCCUUAACCUCUCACCACCAAGGAGCUGUGAAGAACAUGGAUCAUGAGGUGAUCAAGAAGUCAGACAUUGAUGCCUUGAUCAAAGCCCUUAAAGAGUCUGGUAACACCCUUGGAAACACCCUUGGUUAUUCCUAUACUGCUCAUGUGCUGCCUAGAACUUGUGAUAGCUUGCUAGGAAGCUUUGAUAGGAUGAGAACUGAACCGGAUAGAUAUACAACCUUUGCUGCUGAUAGGAUGUCUAGAAAUGAAACCACAUUGCUUGAUCUCAUUGAUAAAUUGAAACUGGUAAAAGAACCACCUAGGAAUCAUAUUGCUCAAGGAAUAAAACCAUUGAUUAUUGAUUCAGGUGCUUCACACCAUAUGAUAAGUGAUGAUAGCCUUAUAAAGAACAUAGAACCGGCUCAUGGACAUGUAAUGAUUGCAAAUGGUGAUAGAAUUCCUAUUAGAGGUGUAGGAGACUUAAAACUGUUUAAUAAGGAUUCUAAAGCUUUGUACAUGCCUGAGUUUGCUUCUAAUCUUUUAUCUGUUAAGAGGUGUACCAAUGAUCUUCAAUGCAAUGUUAUUUUCAGUCCUAAUGAUGUGAAAUUUCAGGAUAUUGAAAGCAGUAAGUUGAUUGGGCAAGGAGUAACCAAAGGAGACCUUUAUUUACUUGAAGACCUUUCUAUCAUUUCUAGUUCUAGUUGCUUGUUGAGUUCCGUUUUAAGUAGAGGUGCAUUGUGGCAUUCUAGGCUAGGACAUCCACAUGUUAGAGCCUUAAGCUUAAUGUUACCAGGUGUCAUGUUUAAAAAUAAUGAGUGUGAAGCAUGUAUUUUGGGAAAGCAUUGUAAGACUGUGUUCAAGAGAUCUACUACUAUCUAUGAUAAAUGCUUUGAUCUUGUUCAUUCUGAUGUAUGGACUGCUCCAUGCUUAUCUAGGGACAAUUACAAAUACUUUGUCACAUUCAUAGAUGAGAAAUCCAAAUACACCUGGAUAACACUAAUUAAAACAAAGGAUAGGGUUCUUGAUGCAUUUAAAAACUUUCAAUCAUAUGUUUCUAACCAGUAUAAUGCCAAGAUUAAGAUUUUCAGGUCUGAUAAUGGUGGAGAGUAUACUGGCCAUGCAUUCAAGAACCAUCUAGCUCAACAUGGGAUACUUCAUCAAACGAGUUGCCCUUAUACACCUCAACAAAAUGGAGUGGCUGAGAGGAAGAACAGACAUCUUAUGGAAGUGGCUAGAUCAAUGAUGUUCCAGAUGAGAGUGCCAAAGAGAUUCUGGAGUGAUGCUGUGAUCACGGCUUGCUACCUAAUCAAUAGGAUACCAACCAAGAUUCUGGAAGAUAAAGCCCCUUAUGAAGUUCUCAACAACAGCAAGCCAGUCCUAGAUCACCUAAGAGUGUUUGGGUGUGUAAGCUAUGUUCUUGUCCCGGGAGAGAUGAGAAACAAGCUGGAAGCAAAGAGUAUCAGAGCUAUGAUGAUAGGAUACUCAACCACACAGAAGGGAUACAAGUGCUUUGUUCCUGAGACAAGGAGAGUCCUUGUAUCUAGAGAUGUCAAGUUCUUUGAAGAGAAGAGCUACUAUGAAGAUAAAGAUUGGAAAGAGCUGGAGGAUCUUUCACAACCUUCAGAUAGAGCUACAAGCUUGAGACAGAUACUAGAAGGUCUUGGAAUUGGAAUGUCCCAGGAGUCGACAGAGGAUCAGUCAUCUGAAAGACAAGAAGCUGAAGAACCAUCUCACCUUGAAGUCGACAGAGUCUUGGAAUUGGAAUGUCCCAGGAGUCGACAGAGGAUCAGUCAUCUGAAGGACAAGAAGCUGAAGAACCAUCUCACCUUGAUCAUGAGGGAGGGAAUGGAAUUGAGCCGGAUGAGAAUCAAGAUGUUGCGGAUCAUCCUGAUCAAGGUGGAGCUGAACCAAGUAAUGAAGAGCUCAAUGAGUUACCAGAACAAGGAGGAGUGGAAGCAACUGAAGUAGAAGCACCAGAGCAAGCACCAGUUGAGGUACCAUUGAGGAGAAGCACACGGCUGAAGAGAGAUGCUUCCAACUGGGUAAACACGAGAGUGUACUACAAUGCCCAGGCUGUGGAGCAUCCUUCUCAAGCUGUGUGUUCAUUUGCCUGUUAUCCAAAGGAGCAUUGCGCAUUCAUGAUGAGCCUAGAUGAAAGUAGUGUACCAAGAUCAUAUGAAGAGGCAAUGCUACAUCAAGAUUGGAAGGAAUCUGUGGGAGAUGAGGCAAAUGCCAUGAUAAAGAAUGACACUUGGUUUGAAAGUGAGUUGCCAAAAGGAAAGAAGGCAUUGACAGAAAGAAGACAAGAUUGGUGGCCAGAGGAUACACUCAAACAUAUGGGGAAGACUACAUUGAUACCUUUGCCCCUGUUGCCAAGCUACAUACAAUAAGAAUUGUAUUGUCUCUUGCUGUGAACCUUGAGUGGGAGCUUUGGCAGAUGGAUGUGAAGAAUGCAUUUCUUCAGGGAGAACUAGAAGAUGAAGUGUACAUGCAUCCACCACCGGGUCUUGAACAUCUUGUGAAACCAGGGAAUGUAUUGAGACUCAAGAAGGCAAUCUAUGGGUUGAAGCAAUCACCUAGAGCAUGGUACAACAAGCUGAGUACUACUCUGAAUGGCCGUGGGUUCAAGAAGUCAGAAUUGGAUCACACCCUCUUCACCCUCACUACACCUUCAGGUAUCAUCUGUCUACUUGUAUAUGUUGAUGAUAUUAUUAUAACAGGUAGUGAUAAGGCUGGUAUAAAAGCCACAAAGGAGUUUUUGAAAUCUGUGUUUGAAAUCAAAGACUUAGGGGAAAUGAAAUACUUCCUUGGAAUUGAGUUGUGUAGAUCUAAGGAAGGAUUGUUCAUUUCCCAAAGGAAGUAUACACUUGAUCUUUUGAAAGAUGCAGGUAUACAAGGAGACAAGACAGCAAAGAUGCCUCUUGAAGAUGGAUACAAGGUUCCACGUGAGGGGGAGGUUGAAGAUAGCAAGGCCUUUCAUGAUCCAAAGCUGUACAGGAAGCUAGUAGGGAAGCUCAUCUACCUUACAAUCACACGACCAGACAUAUGCUUUGCGGUGAACCAAGUGAGCCAGCAUAUGCAAGUCCCAAAGGAUCAUCACUGGCGCAUGGUGGAGAGACUUCUCUUGUAUCUGAAUGGGACGUCAAGCCUUGGAGUGUGGAUGGGAUGUAACAAGAGCACUGAAGUGGUGGGAUACUGUGAUGCGGAUUGGGCUGGAGGUAGAGCAGACAGGAGAUCAACCACCGGCUAUUGUACAUUCAUUGGAGGCAACUUGGUGACUUGGAAGAGUAAGAAGCAGAAGGUGGUGUCUUGUUCAAGCGCUGAAGCUGAGUAUAGAGCAAUGCUGAAGCUUACCAAUGAGUUGGUAUGGAUCAAAGGAAUCUUGAAGCACUUGGAGAUAGAGCAGGGAACUCCAAUGACUAUGCAUUGUGAUAAUCAAGCGGCUAUACACAUUGCGACCAACUCAGUCUUCCAUGAGAGAACCAAGCACAUUGAAGUUGAUUGUCACAAGGUGAGGCAGAUGAUUGUCUUGGGAGUGAUCUUGCCAUGCUACUCAAGGAGUGAGGAUCAACUUGCGGAUGUGUUCACCAAGGCUGCAAGACAAAAGACUAUGGAGUCCAUUCAUUCCAGAUUGGGGCUCAUAGAUCUUUCCCCAAGGAGCUGAUCCCCUUUGCCAUGAGGUCUUCACUCUUUUUCCCUCAUCAAGGUUUUGUCCCAAUGGGUUUUUCUUGGUGAGGUUUUUAAUGAGGGAGAUCUCAUGGUGGUUCCAAGCUUAACUAAGUUACUAAGUUAAGCUUGAGGGGGAGUGUUAAAAUGAGUUGUUCAGUAUAUGGGGAGAUGGCUUAAGGAGUUGAGGAUGUGAGAAUGUGGAGGCAAAGGGAAGGAAGGUUAGGGAUCGACCAGGCCGUACAAGAGGCCGUACCGGCCGUACCGUCCGUACUGUCCGGGUCGAUCCAUAACUCGACCAAGAGGGAAGUUACCCGGGUGAAAGGGUUAAACGGCCAAAGGGGUUUCACCUUAGAAGAUAUGACCGUUUGGAUGGAUAGAGUGACCGCGGCUUAUCCUGACAGUCUGGCACAGGCUGUAAAGGCAAAAGGAGUCUCACCAAAAGAUGCCAUAAGCGUGUGAUCUUCCCCAUUGGUUUACAUUUGAAUUAAAGCAACCUUAUCCUUGACCU
rnacentral:lncRNA from 1 species